UUGUUGCGACGUAGACCAAACCAAUUGAAAUUGGCAGUGCGCUGUCGGUUGAGUUAACGGGAAAAAUAACAAUAAAUACAGUUUUAUGGUUAUAAUUAACAUUAACGAAUUACUUCCAGUCGAUUUAUGCAAAUGAGUCUUGUCAACAUCGAUUCGAUUUAUCGUUUUGCGGAUGAGUGAUCUCCCAAAAAGUUGACGAUUGUAUUUCGCAACGUGUCGAUUGCUCCGGCAAAUAAAACGUAGAUCUGCCAAUUACACGCGUUCGGUUCUGAUUCAUUCGAGUCAACAAUAAUCACGAUUCACUUAGAUGAACGCAGUUUCAAAAAUCCGGGGAAAAUUUCGUCCCACGCUUUUUUGAGUGUGCGAAAUUAGGGAUCGGGUUCAUAAACUUUCAAUCCUCUUGUAAAUAAUCCCGACUGUGGGAAUAAUAACUUCAUUGCUGGUUAUAUAAUUUGGGGUGAGCGAAUGAGGGUGAGAGUCAAGUGCGAACCAUCAAUAGGUGGGGGAGUGGAGAUAUAAACGCACGCGGCGCCAAAGUCUUGCAUUUGCGUUUAACAGUUCUGUCGAGAUGUCGGUCAGACGAUUUUUCAUCUGGACGGGACACAACUGUCUCAAAGUGUUGAAGAACUUGUCCACUUCGAUCCAAAAUCGCUACAAUAGGAAGAGAUUCAAAAACUCGACUUUUUCCAUUUCGACCUUCGAACGGGGAAGCGUCUCCACGGAAAUCACGGUUCUGGAGUACGAAAUCACACCCUGUAUGUGCCACAAUUACCAACGCGAAAACGAAGUCAAUGAAAACCUGGAGAGGAGGUGGAGGUGCAAAUAUUAUUAAUUUUUUUGUUGCAAAUAGACAAGGCUGUGAUUUUAUGUAUACUUAAGCGAAUAAAUUAUUAUUUUUUAUAA